rnacentral:lncRNA from 1 species
AAAUAACCAUCUUCUCCAUAUCGAGGCCUUUAGCAUUUGGCAGUAGAAAACUUUAACCCCAUUUCCCAUUUCCCCUAUCUCGGCCCCUUUUCUCUUCUCAAUACCUAGAUUCACUAUUCGAAAUCGAUUUUCCUCCUACGCCACGGAAUUAAUUCUUGACGAAGUAUCUCUUAUGAAUCUUCGAAACGGUAAACCCAGUUUUCAGAUUAGGAUUUUAUUUUUUUUCUGAUAAAAGAACUGGAUAUGAAUAUUUCUUGAAUCAUCAAAUUGUAGUUUGUUUCCUUUCACCCAUAGUCAGGCAGAAGGAAUGGAUGAUUUCGAUUUCGAUUCGGUGGAAAGAAGAAAGAUUAAAGCCGGUAAAACCUCUUUCUCUCCCUCUCUCUUACAAGUCGCACACAAUUAUUUUUUGGCCUUAUUUAUGUGUUUUUCCAAAAGAUAGAAUAAAUUGGAAUAAUCGGAUUGAGAUCCAACAAUUUAUCGGGGUGCGAGUGCAAUCAAGUUAUUUUAUUAGCUUUCCGGUGAAUAAAUAAUUAUGAGGGCAAAUUUGGAAUGUUUGAUAUGUAGUGAUGAGUCUUUUUAUAUAUUGAUUGUUAUAUGGAUUUUGCCAGGGUAGAAAGAUAGUAAAUGAGUCUUGUGUAUGUAUAUUUAUAGUUAAUAGGUGAAAUGUGCUUGUUGUAUUUUUAUCAUCUAAAGAAGAUGAGGAUUUGGACAACAUGAAAUGUGUUCCUAUGCUUAGUUUUAUCACUUUUCCUUGCGAAAUUACGUGUUAUCAAAUUAUAUGUAUAACUUCUGAUGAUUUGAUUUUAUAUGAUAGGUUCCUUAAGGCAAAAGAGACAUUAAUAUUUUGAUAUCAAUUUGGAAAUGCUGCAAAUUUUGGGCCUGCUUGCACAAGUCGUAAACUAAUUUCUCAAGGAAAUUGUAAUUUAUAUAUAUAUUUAUAAAUUAUACGUUAAAGUAUGGUUUGUUUCAUUCAUGUUAUAACUCUAAUUUCAGGUUGAAGUAUGGUUUGUUUCAUUUAUCGUAAUUUAUUCUACUUUCGAGUUGAAGCAAGGUUUAGUUCCUUUAUUCGAACAAGAAUAUCGUGACUGAAUCCGUCCAAGAUAGUGUUGAUUGCUCCAAGAAUCUACACAUUCAAGCACUACAGGUAACAUUUUAUAGACUUUAUCUAUGUAGGUCUGAAUUUAUGUUUGAUAUAUAUAUAUUGCCAUUUUUAUGUGCUUUUAAUCGAAGAGCCUGUUACACAGCCUUAGUCCGUACAUCUUGUAAGUUGUUCAAUUUAUGUACUUUUAAUCUAAGGUUCUAAUAAUGUUUUCGAUUACAAAAGUGCAGUAGUCAUUUUUUAUUUUAAUUUCGCAGUAACGGAAAGAAAGGAAGUGUCUUGUAAGAUAGUAAGAUUAUAUGUUCUACAACAUGUUAGAUUUUUUUUCAAUCUUUCAGUGGAUUCAUAACUUCUUCUACUCCUUACAUUACUCUUCGAUCACUAAUCACAUUUAUCUCGCGACCAGGUUAUCAAAAACGCUGCUAAGUUUUUAUCAAGUGAGAGAUGGAAGGACGUCACACAACAAGUAACAUGACAUCCCGUUGAAAAACCAGCCAGUCGAAUCAAAUGUAACAGUUUAAUUGGACUAUUAAAAAGGUUUCUUCUUUUAUAUUUUAGAUUAGAUGUGGAAUACUUUUUAUUCAAAUAAUUCUGUUAUUUUGAACAAUUCAAAUAAAUAAGAUUCAGCAAGGAGCACAUUUUGGUGUAUAUGUAUGUAAUUUGUUUUUUUU